rnacentral:lncRNA from 1 species
AUGAACUUAGUUAGUAAAAGAAUAACAUAAGAAUAUUUAAAAUUACGAAAAAAUUCAUUUAACCGGUAUCACCGAGGGGUGGGUGUGUGUGUAGUCAUUUGGCGUAUAACUAUGGUCAACCCUAAAACCUCCUUCUUCCACCAAUUCCCAAAAUGAUGACAAGGAUGAUGAUGAUGAUGACGACGACAAUGAAAACAAUGAUGAGAUUGAUGACUACAUCAUUAUUGAUUGAUAUUGUACUAAAGAUUAGUUUUUUAGAGGCUACAUUUUGUGUAAAUUCCAAACUUACCUC